rnacentral:ncRNA from 1 species
ACUUAUCUCACGCAACUGGCGCAAUGAUGGAUCACCAUCGGGGAGCGUAGCUAGCGUGUGGGUCGUGCGCCUGGGCCACCACG